GGUCGGUUAGUGUAGUUGGUUAUCACAUCGGAUUCUGAUUCUCUAGAAGAUCUUCUUCUCUCGUCGAGUUUUCCGGUAACCGGGGUUCGAAUCCCCGACUGACCU